rnacentral:rRNA from 1 species
AUUGAACGCUGGCGGCAGGCUUAACACAUGCAAGUCGAGCGAGCGGCGGACGGGUGAGUAAUGUCUGGGAAACUGCCUGAUGGAGGGGGAUAACUACUGGCAACGGUAGCUAAUACCGCAUACCAUCAGAUGUGCCCAGCUGGGAUUAGCUAGUAGGUGGGGUAAUGGCUCACGUAGGCGACGAUCCCUAGCUGGUCUGAGAGGAUGACCAGCCACACGGGAACUGAGAAACGGUCAAGACUCCUACGGGAGGCAGCAGUGGUGAAUAUUGCACAAGGGGCGCAAGCCUGAUGCAGCCAUGCCGCGGGUGUGAAGAAGGUCUUCGGGUUGUAAAGCACUUUCAGCGAGGAGGCGUUACUCGCAGAAGAAGCACCGGCUAACUCCGUGCCAGCAGCGGCGGUAAUAC